CUUCUCCUUUAAUGUAGAAAAGCUGCUCCCACAUCUCCUGCAUUUGAAGAAUUUCUGUUCUGUGUGUUUUCUCUCAUGUCUCGCUAAAUGUCCCUUUGAGCUAAAUGUCUUCUGACAGGUGAUGCAGGAAAGACUCUGUGCUGACAGACACUCUUUUGAUGUAGAAGUCGUUUCUCCAUCUGAACAUGAACCACUGUUUCUAUCUAAAGGGAACAUGAAAGUUGGCAAACCAGCUUAUGGUGCAUUACCGCCACCUACUGAACUGAAGUAUGGGAGAUACAUUUGAACAGCGG